GGUUUGCGAAUUUGUUUUUCGUUCUGGGAGAUUUGAAGACAUGGAAUGAUUUUUUCAUGUUCUGACAUGUUUGUAUCAGAUUUUGUUCAUUUUAUUUAAAUAAUUAGAGUAUACAUUAUUUGAGCAAGCUCUUUUUAAUGUCUUUGAAUUUAGAAAAUUAUGUUACAAAUUAAACUAUUAAUUUUUUGUUGAUGUUGUUGAGUAUUGGUU
rnacentral:lncRNA from 1 species